rnacentral:rRNA from 1 species
GACGAACGCUGGCGGCGUGCUUAACACAUGCAAGUCGAACGGAAAGGCCCUGCUUUUGUGGGGUGCUCGAGUGGCGAACGGGUGAGUAACACGUGAGUAACCUGCCCUUGACUUUGGGAUAACUUCAGGAAACUGGGGCUAAUACCGGAUAGGAGCUCCUGCUGCAUGGUGGGGGUUGGAAAGUUUCGGCGGUUGGGGAUGGACUCGCGGCUUAUCAGCUUGUUGGUGGGGUAGUGGCUUACCAAGGCUUUGACGGGUAGCCGGCCUGAGAGGGUGACCGGCCACAUUGGGAGUGAGAUACGGCCCAGACUCCUACGGGGGGCAGCAGUGGGGAAUGUUGCACAAUGGGCGGAAGCCUGAUGGGGGGACGCCGGGUGCGGGAUGACGGCCUUCGGGGUGUAAACGGCUUUCGCCUGUGACGAAGCGUGAGUGACGGUAAUGGGUAAAGAAGCACCGGCUAACUACGUG